UACAUGGGGUGCAAACGUUGCUCGGAAUUAUUGGGCGUAAAGCGCGCGUAGGCGGUUACUUAAGUCGGAUGUGAAAGCCCUCGGCUUAACUGAGGAAGUGCACCCGAAACUGAGUAGCUAGAGUACGAAAGAGGGUCGCGGAAUUCCCGGUGUAGAGGUGAAAUUCGUAGAUAUCGGGAGGAACACCGGUGGCGAAGGCGGCGACCUGGGUCGAGACUGACGCUGAGGUGCGAAAGCGUGGGGAGCAAACAGG
rnacentral:rRNA from 1 species